ensembl:snRNA U6 U6 spliceosomal RNA
GUGCUUACUUCAGCAGUGCAUACGGUAAAACUGGAAUGAUACAGUGAAGAUCUAAUCCCUGCACCAGGACGCCAGGCAAAUCCGUGGAAUACUCCCUAGUUUG